rnacentral:rRNA from 1 species
UACAGAGGUCCCAAGCGUUGUUCGGAUUCACUGGGCGUAAAGGGCGCGUAGGCGGCCACUGCAAGUCAGUUGUGAAAUCUCCGGGCUUAACUCGGAAAGGUCAACUGAUACUGCAGGGCUAGAGUGCAGAAGGGGCAACUGGAAUUCUCGGUGUAACGGUGAAAUGCGUAGAUAUCGAGAGGAACACCUGCGGCGAAGGCGGGUUGCUGGGCUGACACUGACGCUGAAGCGCGAAAGCCAGGGGAGCGAACGGG